CGUAGCACGUUUCACGGCUCCUCGGCUCGGAAGCAAACUGCUGCUGCUGCUGCUCGUCUGGACUGGCCUUUCUGGCAUUUGCCAGAAGUGCCAGAUGCCCAGUCCGGCCAUGAUUGUAGCCCAACCUUCACUGCAACUAAAUUAAUUCCCACCAGGCCCCUUCAACAAGCCUGGGUAAUUAGUUCCUGCCCCCCACAUCAGUUGGCAUGAUAGGAUAAAUCUGGUGGACAGGUGGGGAUGGGAAAAACUGAUGGCAGAGGGACAUGUAAGAUAAUAUCUGGUGGGCAAAUGAGAAUAUAAGCCAAAAGCUGAUUUGCAAGGGACAGAAAACCUCUCUCUACCCCCUGAGCAUCAAUGGAGCCUGGACCUCACUCUCCAGUACAUCCGUGCAUCUGGACUGCAGCCUCACCAGCCAGCCUGAAGAAAAUUAAGAAUUUGUAUCAUUUGUGUCUGCAGAAAUGAUGUCUCCAGUGUAAGUGUUCAUCGCUCUACACUCAUAGAUCCCGGAAUCAGACCGUGUGGCAUUCUGGACAACAGCUGUC